AUUGAACGCUGGCGGCAGGCCUAACACAUGCAAGUCGAACGAGUGGCGGACGGGUGAGUAAUGUCUGGGAAACUGCCUGAUGGAGGGGGAUAACUACUGGAAACGGUAGCUAAUACCGCAUACCAUCGGAUGUGCCCAGAUGGGAUUAGCUUGUUGGUGGGGUAACGGCUAACCAAGGCGACGAUCCCUAGCUGGUCUGAGAGGAUGACCAGCCACACUGGAACGGAGACACGGUCCAGACUCCUACGGGAGGCAGCAGUGGGGAAUAUUGCACAAUGGGCGCAAGCCUGAUGCAGCCACGCCGCGUGUAUUAGGAAGGCCUGCGGGUUGUAAAGUACUUUCAGCGGGGAGGCGUUACCCGCACAGGAAGCCCCGGCUAACUCCGUGCCAGCAGCCGCGGUAAUAC
rnacentral:rRNA from 1 species